rnacentral:lncRNA from 13 species
AUGGCAUACUCUUACGUCUGCUUGCAUCUGUAUCCCAUGCUCAAAAGUACCAGGACCCAGCCAGGAAUACUAGAUGGACGGUUCAGACACGCAUUUCCAAAUGCCCUUGUGAAGAUCAAGUGCCAACUCAGUGGGACAUCUUUGGAUUUGUUUUCUUUGCCUCCGGCUGCAAUUCCCACCCAUCUUGCCCUCUACUCUUGCUCCCGGGGCUCACUUCCAAACACCAUCACUCCAGUCCAGUUUACCAACUUUCCUCGUGGACAGCCCUCAGCACUCAUCUACCUAGUCCAUGACAUGUCAGCUCCUCUGAGAAGCCAUGUCUCCAUAAACCGUUCUCCAUACCAGAGCCCAUUUUUGAAAGCAGACACAUGCUCCAAAGCUGGAGAGAGUUGUGGGCCUCUGCAUCUCGUUGGUGGUCCUCUGAAGGCCAAAGCCCACUUCUGAGCCCAGAUGCUGCUGAAGUGCCCACAGUUCUCCCCUGGACCUGCUGAGCCAGACUGGAAGAAAGUAGCAAGGACCCACAGACUUUAGUCAGCAGCCUGCAAACACAGAGUGGAGUUGGCUCUAAUAGAGUGUGUACUCAUAAAAAGAUGUUUAACCUGCAUGGGAGACGCCCUAUUGUUUUGACCUUCACGACAAUUGGGUGUAAAACUUUGAGUAAACACCUUCCUGACACCUAUUAAGGGGACUCCGCGGGAGGUGCAGCCAUUAAUCAGAACAGCCGCAGGAGGCGAGGGCUGCUGAUGGAGUCCUGGAAGGAUGACUUGGUCCCCUGCAGUUCUCUCUCUUUUUCUUCAAAUUAAAUCCCAAGGAAAUCGAGAGAGAGAAAGAAACUCCAUUUAGUUCCUGCUUGCCUCCCAGAAGAAGAGGCAGUUUCAACCUGCCUGUGCCAGGAGGAGGCAGGCAUGGGAUGGAGACUGCGAUGGAGCUUGUCUGUGGCUAUUGUGGCUUCUGUUUGAUCUCAGGUGGAGAUGGGGAAGCAGAACAGAGAUAAGAAUGUCUCUCCCAAGUGACUGAAGAAGCCAAUAAAGCUGACCUUGAGGUGACA